GUGGAGUCAAAUUUAGUGGGCAUCAUAGCUCUGGAAUGGCUAUCCACAGGUCUGCCUUCUAAACUCACCUCUGCCAUUAAUGGUUUGUGGGAGGAAAAUACAGAAUUGAUGGAAGACAGCUGAAAACAGUCAGCAGCGGAAAGUCCAGCACUACCAGCAUCUGAUCUUAAUCAUAAUAUAUCCUCUGUCUGGUUUGUCAAAAUCUAUCACUCAAGAACACCUUCAAUGGACAGUAAUUUGAGGUGUGGCUUAUUAGAUCACACGAUCUUAUGAAUAAUAAAAAGUUAUGGAAAAUUGCA